GCAUCUGUAGCCUAGUUGGUAAAGGCAGAACUCAAGAAUGUGUCUCAGCAUUUCUGAGGUUGUGGGUCCAAGUCCCACCAUACACA